rnacentral:rRNA from 1 species
AAUGGGCGAAAGCCUGAUCCAGCAAUGCCGCGUGUGUGAAGAAGGCCUUCGGGUUGUAAAGCACUUUUGUCCGGAAAGAAAUGGCUCUGGUUAAUACCUGGGGUCGAUGACGGUACCGGAAGAAUAAGGACCGGCUAACUACGUGCCAGCAGCCGCGGUAAUACGUAGGGUCCAAGCGUUAAUCGGAAUUACUGGGCGUAAAGCGUGCGCAGGCGGUUGUGCAAGACCGAUGUGAAAUCCCCGAGCUUAACUUGGGAAUUGCAUUGGUGACUGCACGGCUAGAGUGUGCCAGAGGGGGGUAGAAUUCCACGUGUAGCAGUGAAAUGCGUAGAGAUGUGGAGGAAUACCGACGGCGAAGGCAGCCCCCUGGGAUAACACUGACGCUCAUGCACGAAAGCGUGGGGAGCAAACAGGAUU